UCUUUCUAGAGCAACAGUUUUAUCACAAUGACUAUAUUUGAGUUAUAAAACGGUCCAGGUGAACCUGACUUGGGAGUCACUUAUAGAGUGAGGGGUCCUUAGCAACGGCAUACACCUUCUGCAUGGCAACCAGGUGAUCAGCUGUCAGGUGGUAUUUGUCAGCUGAGUGUCAGAGUAGCGACUAUGGAUCUUCUGUUGUGUUCCCCAGCUGCCAGCAAGUCUCAACAGGCAAAUUUCCGUCCCGGGAUGGAGGGAUUGGUCCCUAAGACAGCCCUGGUCCCUGGUCUGACAGCACCUGUCUGCAUGGUUGCUUCCCCAUGACAAACAUGACUGUGGACACCCGGUCACAUCAAAACAGAUAAGUUUUACUGUGAUGAGGGGUGAGGUUACCAGUCGUACCCCUCCACAACAGAUAAAUGUGUCAGAUUAGACAGCUAUACACACUGGUUAAGCUCGUGUCUUAGAUGAACGGUUUUACAUGACAACACUGUUUCACACAAGUCUAAACUUCUUGGGCAACAAGAAAAAAGCUUUGCCAAAAGCCAAUUCAAAACUUUGCCGCCUUUUCCACUAUGUGAAUUUCAACAAUUCAAAGUUUAUUACAGAGGACAGCUAUUUCUUGAAAGGUUAACAGAGGAAUAAAUAACACAAGUAUUCAGUAAGACAAUAAACACAAUUUUGUCGCGUAUAAAAUCUGCCCUUUUAUUCAAUACAAAUCUAUUUUGAUUUAAAUACUCAAAGUCUACUCCACGAUUGGCUGGAUCUUUUUUUCUAUCUUUUUUGACAUGUUGUAGAUUAUUGACACUGAAGUAUGGGUAAUAUUGUGCUCAUUAAUGUGGAUGAUUGUGGACAGUUAACCAUCUAUUGAUGCCUUCCAACCACCUGUUGUUUCCUCAGCAUGGCA